rnacentral:rRNA from 1 species
GAUGAACGCUAGCGGCAGGCUUAACACAUGCAAGUCGAGGGGUAUAGUUCUUCGGAAUUAGAGACCGGCGCACGGGUGCGUAACGCGUAUGCAAUCUACCUUUCACAGAGGGAUAGCCCAGAGAAAUUUGGAUUAAUACCUCAUAGUAUAGCAGUUUCGCAUGAAACCACUAUUAAAGUCACAACGGUGAAAGAUGAGCAUGCGUCCCAUUAGCUAGUUGGUAAGGUAACGGCUUACCAAGGCAACGAUGGGUAGGGGUCCUGAGAGGGAGAUCCCCCACACUGGUACUGAGACACGGACCAGACUCCUACGGGAGGCAGCAGUGAGGAAUAUUGGACAAUGGGCGCAAGCCUGAUCCAGCCAUGCCGCGUGCAGGAUGACGGUCCUAUGGAUUGUAAACUGCUUUUGUACAGGAAGAAACACUACUUCGUGAAGUAGCUUGACGGUACUGUAAGAAUAAGGAUCGGCUAACUCCGUGCCAGCAG